UACGAAGGGACCUAGCGUAGUUCGGAAUUACUGGGCUUAAAGAGUUCGUAGGUGGUUAAAAAAGUUGGUGGUGAAAUCCCAGAGCUUAACUCUGGAACUGCCAUCAAAACUUUUUAGCUAGAGUAUGAUAGAGGAAAGUAGAAUUUCUAGUGUAGAGGUGAAAUUCGUAGAUAUUAGAAAGAAUACCGAUUGCGAAGGCAACUUUCUGGAUCAUUACUGACACUGAGGAACGAAAGCAUGGGUAGCGAAGAGG
rnacentral:rRNA from 1 species